AGGAAUCGUUAAUAAAUUCCUGUCAUUCAAAGGCUGGAUUCCUUUGGGUAGACUCACCUAUUGUGUUUAUCUUUUGCAUCCGAUCAUUAUACGAUCAAUUAGUUUAUACAAUGAAACAACAAUACAUUUAGAAUUUCUGCCGUUUGUUGUUCUAUCUAUGGGAUACAUUGUGGUUAGUUACUUUUGCGCUUACGUAUUAUUUAUAACAGUGGAAAUACCUUGUCUUCUUUUAAUGCGAACGUUUAUUCAAAACCGUUCAACUAACAUAAUAGUUAAAAAGGUACUUUAAUAUAAAUCGCAUUUUAUGCAAGAUAUUAUAGCUAUUAAAAAGACGAUAUUUCUCUAAUUUAAUAAAACUGUGAACUUUGUCACAAUUUAUACAUAAGUUCUUCAAAAAAUAACAUGAGGAUGGAAAGGGGCAUUAUAUGUCGGGAAAGCAAAGAAUUCCGGGAUCACUUGUUCGAUCCCGUGAGGAUGAACAUGAGGGAGAGGAGGAGGUGGGAAAAUCUCUUCGAAAUCAUGUGAGAAGGACGAAGGGGGAAAAGGGAAAGCGGGGAUUUCUUCAGGUUCUGAAGAAUACGUUUUCUCGCACUUUUGAGGAGGUGCUAAGGAAUAAGGAGAGGAGAUGCGUGGAGAGAACUCUUCGCACUCUUGCGGAAGUGAAUGCAAA
rnacentral:lncRNA from 13 species